rnacentral:rRNA from 1 species
UAAUGGGUCAGCGAGUUUCCGUUCGCGGCGAGCUUAAGCCGAUAGGCGAAGGCGUAGCGAAAGCGAGUCUGAACAGGGCGUUCAGUCGCGGGCGGAAGACCCGAAACCGAGUGAUCUAGCCAUGGCCAGGUUGAAGGUGGGGUAACACCCACUGGAGGACCGAACCCACGCCUGUUGAAAAAGUCGGGGAUGAGCUGUGGCUAGGGGUGAAAGGCCAAUCAAACUCGGAAAUAGCUGGUUCUCCGCGAAAUCUAUUGAGGUAGAUCGUCACGUGUUUACCCUCGGGGGUAGAGCACUGGAUGGGCUAGGGGGGCCCAAAGCCUUACCAAACCUAACCAAACUCCGAAUACCGAGGAGUAUAGCGUGGCAGACAGACGGCGGGUGCUAAGGUCCGUCGUCGAGAGGGAAACAGCCCAGACCACCAGCUAAGGUCCCCAAAUCGUGGCUAAGUGGGAAAGGAUGUGGGAAUUCCAAAACAACCAGGAGGUUGGCUUAGAAGCAGCCAUCCUUUAAAGAAAGCGUAAUAGCUCACUGGUCUAAUAGAAAUCCCGCGCCGAAAAUGUAACGGGG